GAUGAAGAACGUAGCGAAAUGCGAUAAGUAGUGUGAAUUGCAGAAUUCAGUGAAUCAUCGAAUCUUUGAACGCACAUUGCGCCCCUUGGUAUCCCCAGGGGCAUGCCUGUUCGAGCGUCAUUUCACCACUCAAGCCUGGCUUGGUGUUGGGCGACGUCCCCUUUGGGGACGCGCCUCGAAACGCUCGGCGGCGUGGCACCGGCUUUAAGCGUAGCAGAAUCUUUCGCUUUGGAAGUCGGGGCCCCGUCUGCCGGAAGACCUACUCGCAAGGUUGACCUCGGAUCAGGCAGGGAUACCCGCUGAACUUAAGCAUAUCAAUAAGCGGAGGA
rnacentral:misc_RNA from 1 species